rnacentral:ncRNA from 1 species
AAGGCCUGAUGUGUGUGAGAUUACCCGCUGAAUUUAAGCAUAUAAGUAAGCGGAGGAAAAGAAACUAACUAGGAUUCCCUUAGUAAUGGCGAAUGAACAGGGAUCAGCUCAGUGCCAAAUCGGAAUCACUUGUGGUUCUGAAAUGUGGCUUGAAGGCAGUACCAGUGGCAUCGCGGACGAAAGUCUCUUGGAAAAGAGCGUCAUAGAGGGUGAGAAUCCCGUGAGUCGUUCGCCGUUUGUCACGUACGGUCUGCGUUCUAACGAGUCGCGUUCCUUGGGAUUGGAGCGUAAACGGGUGGUAAAUUUCAUCCAAAGCAAAAUAUAUACUCGAGACCGAUAGCACAAAAGUACCGUGAGGGAAAGGUGAAAAGAACUUUGAGAAGAGGGUUAAAUAGUGCCUGAAAUCGUUGAGAAGGAAGCGGAUGCCGCCGUUGCAUAUGCUGAUUGUAGGAUUGCUGCUCGCUCCUGUCUUCUGCUACUCAUUCACAGACCUGGUCGUGUUGAGCAGUUGUUUGGCAGAUGUUAGUGGUGUUUCCUACUUUCAGUCGUCAGCAUCACUGGCUGAGUGGAAAUAAUCCUUGGAUGCUAAUUGGUUCGCUAUCUGUGAAUUGGUUGCUUCCUUGCGAUACUCACUACUCGGUCAGUGAGGAAGUGCGUUUGCUGGUCAACGAGCUUUCUAACUGUCAUUACCCUGCGCUUUUCGAUUCGUCGAGUGCCAGGAUGUGGCUUUGAGAUUGUUCGCACUUAGUAAUCGCGAUGCUGGCUUCAACGGUUGCCUCCGGCCCGUCUUGAAACACGGACCAAGGAGUCUAACGU